GACGAACCGUGCGAACGUUGUUCGGAAUCACUGGGCUUAAAGGGCGCGUAGGCGGGCGGUCAAGUCAGAGGUGAAAUCCCACGGCUCAACCGUGGAAGUGCCCCUGAUACUGGCCGUCUCGAGGGAGGUAGGGGCGUGCGGAACUUCCGGUGGAGCGGUGAAAUGCGUAGAUAUCGGAAGGAACACCGGUGGCGAAAGCGGCGCGCUGGAGUCUCUACUGACGCUGAGGCGCGAAAGCCAGGGAGCAAACGGG
rnacentral:rRNA from 1 species